rnacentral:rRNA from 1 species
UACGUAGGUGGCAAGCGUUGUCCGGAAUUAUUGGGCGUAAAGCGCGCGCAGGCGGUCUCUUAAGUCUGAUGUGAAAAGCCCCACGGCUCAACCGUGGAGGGUCAUUGGAAAACUGGGGGGACUUGAGUACAGAAGAGGAAAGCGGAAUUCCACGUGUAGCGGUGAAAUGCGUAGAGAUGUGGAGGAACACCAGUGGCGAAGGCGGCCUUCUGGACAGUGACUGACGCUGAGACGCGAAAGCGUGGGGAGCAAACAGG